rnacentral:rRNA from 1 species
UAGGGAAUAUUGGUCAAUGGGCGAGAGCCUGAACCAGCCAUGCCGCGUGCAGGACGACGGCCUUCUGGGUUGUAAACUGCUUUUAUACAGGAAUAAAAUGACGCUGUGGCGUAGAUUGCAUGUACUGUAUGAAUAAGCACCGGCUAACUCCGUGCCAGCAGCCGCGGUAAUACGGAGGGUGCGAGCGUUGUCCGGAUUUAUUGGGUUUAAAGGGUGCGUAGGCGGUUAUUUAAGUCAGUGGUGAAAACCCUGAGCUCAACUGAGGGCUUGCCAUUGAUACUGGGUAACUUGAUUACCGUAUAGGUAGGCGGAAUUUAUGGUGUAGCGGUGAAAUGCAUAGAUACCAUAAAGAACACCGAUAGCGAAGGCAGCUUACUGGACGGCGAAUGACGCUGAUGCACGAAAGCGUGGGUAGCGAACGGGAUUAGAUACCCCUGUAGUCC